rnacentral:lncRNA from 1 species
CAAAACACAGACUCCGUUUGUUUAUUCAAAUUUAUUAGAAUAAAAAGGGUCUCUAAAACAUGAAAAAGAUAUUUAAUGUCAUACAAUAAACACAGAAGAACAUACAUAUACUGACAAACCUGGUCAGAUGAGGUUACGGUCUGUGGUGUAGGGCUUCCUCUGGUUGGUCACAGAUUUGGUCGAUCGUACCAAUAGUUUUAGAGUUUAGGUUUAUUUGCAUGUGGCUUAGACACAACUAACAAACUAUUCCAAUAUACAAACUUUGUCACUGAAUACUUCCUACGCCUUACACAAGCUACUACAGUCUAGAAGUGACAAUUUCCACAGCCGUCACCAGUGGUGGCUGCAGAAAAUUGGCUUUAUCUGUGCAGGAUCCCGCAGUCUCCAUUGAUUUCUUCUCUUCCACUAAGUAACGUUGAAUGGUUGAAAAGGGCAAUAUUUAUAGCAAUGAUUGACAGGGAGCCAAGAUGGAGUCGCUCAAUUUAAGUAUACAGGAAAAUACGGUGCAAAUAAAACCAUAUUUUCUAAAUAGAAAGAUAUAUAAACAUAUUGUUCAAAAUGCUGGAAAGGGACAGUUUCCCUUUAAACCAUAUUGUUGGAAUUUAUACAAACACCUUUAUUCACAAAACUCUCAGGAAUCUAUCAUAGAAAAGGAUUGCUGGGAUAAAUGUCUAUUAUGUACAAUAAAAAAAUAAUAAACAACAAAUACUUACCUAUAUAGAUCCUAACAAAGCACAAAUUGCACAGACUGCUGGAAGACUUCUUUGACCAGGAAGUAGCUCUACCAAUCAUGAGGCUUUUAUUCUGAUCUAUGGAGUCUGACCUCAUCCCAUACAUCUCUGCCCAGCAAACUCACGGACCUCCAGAGACAGAUUUUCCCCAUAGGAAAGCAUUGAAUGAUGCUUUCCUAUGGGGAGGUCUAAUACACGCAUGACCAUUGCCGCGCAUGCGCAUUAGGUCUCCCCGCCGGCUGACGUCGGUGGGGGAAGAGCGUGGGUGGAGCCUGACCCAGCGCCGAGGGACAUCGGCGCUGGAUUCAGGUAAGUGGCUGAAGGGGUUUUAGCCCCUUCAGCCACGCGGGAGGGAAGCCCCGAGUGAGAAGGGCACUCCAGGAGCCCAUAGUGAAAGGAAAACUGGUUUGUUUUCCUGGCACUAUAGGAUCCCUUUAAAAGUGAACAUUUGGUAACAUUCUAUAUACAUUACUUAUCCCAGAUGUAAAUAAUUAUGUUAUGUAAGACUUCAUACAAACUUUUUUGGAUAACAAGGCUCGCUGGCCACAAAAACCACAUCUGAUAAACCUGUAUGGACAAAUAAAAACUAAACAAAACAAUGUGUUAUUUUUCCAUCUCUUCCUGCAAAUGUUUGCAUAGUUAAAAGUUUUUCCAAAUAUUAACCCUUUUAAUUAUAUUGUAGAAUUGCAGUCCCCCACAAGGCCACCAGAACAAACACCUCUUAUUCUACAUAAACAAAAAACGAAAACCUGCCACAUCUUGCCCUUUUCUCUAAAAAAAGAGUGUCAAACAAUUCUUACCUUUUAUUCCGGCCAUUUUACAAAGUAAAUAAAGUCUGGGCUUUGCAGCCGGCAGUGUCCUGAUCAAGAUUUCCAUAGAAGUUUCAGUUCUCUGAUAAAGCAGCCAUUAAUUUAAUGUGACAUACACUCUGACUGACCCUAAACACAUUCUUCAAUGUAAACGUAUUUAAGCUGAACUUCUCUUGUUGCAAUUACUUGUUUAUUAGCUCAUUUAUUGUACAGCGCUGUGGAAUACGUUGCUGCUUUAUAAAAAUAAUAAAAAUGUUUCAGUCUGCAUGUUGGGCUGUAUAUGGUGCCUAUGAAUCAGGAAAUUGUCGCCUGUCUCAAUAUAAAAAAAAAAAAAGAAGGAAAUCAAGUAAAGGCUUGUGGUUCUACUAGAAAUUAAAAGGGGCUUUCCCAAACCUAUCCGAGCCAGUGGUGUGAACGGUGUGCAGAAAACAUAAAAAUACAGGUAAUUUCUACAUAUAUUUCCCGCAAAAUGAUAUAAUCCCCACAAGAUAAAAAAGGUAAUAAAUUUGAUUGGCUUCUUGUGAUUCCACAUAAACCAGACUUGGCUGAGUAGCAGAGACUCCGAUAUGCUUGCUUUAACUCUAUAUAGUCCGCGUGGUGAACACAUGCUGCCCAGCUCCUCAGAACCUCACCUGUGACAUCAGUCUUCCUCACAGGUUAAGGGUCUCAGGGACAGAGAGGCAUGCUGCUAAAC